UACAGAGGGUGCAAGCGUUGUUCGGAAUUAUUGGGCGUAAAGGGCGCGUAGGCGGUGCGGUAAGUCUGUAGUGAAAUCUCUGGGCUCAACUCAGAGUCUGCUGCAGAAACUGCCGUGCUUGAGUGUGGGAGAGGUGAGUGGAAUUCCCGGUGUAGCGGUGAAAUGCGUAGAUAUCGGGGAGGAACACCUGUGGCGAAAGCGGACGCACUGGACCAUAACUGACGCUGAUGCGCGAAAAGCUAGGGGGAGCAAAACAGG
rnacentral:rRNA from 1 species